CUCAGCCAUCCCACUCUCCUUCCAGCCCAUCCAUCCAUUCCUCCCUCCCCUCAGCCAUCCCACUCUCCUUAGAGCCACCCCUCUCAUCCAUCCAUCCAUUCCUCCCUCCCUCUCAUCAGCCAUCCCACUCUCCUUCCAGCCACCCCUCUCAUCCAUCCAUCCAUUCCUCCCUCUCUCCCCUCAGCCAUCCCACUCUCUCUUCCUCCCAUCCAGCCAUCCCUCCACUAAAGCGUUAGUUUAGUACCACAGGAGAUUGCAGAGGGGAGGGCGGCUCAUAAUGUCUGGAAUGGAGUAAAUGGAAUGGGGUCAACCACAUGGAAACCAGGUGAGGGCGACUCAUAAUGUCUGGAAUGGAGUAAAUGGAAUGGGGUCAACCACGUGGAAACCAGGUGAGGGCGGCUCAUAAUGUCUGGAAUGGAGUAAAUGGAAUGGGGUCAACCACGUGGAAACCAGGUGAGGGCGACUCAUAAUGUCUGGAAUGGAGUAAAUGGAAUGGGGUCAACCACGUGGAAACCAGGUGAGGGCGACUCAUAAUGUCUGGAAUGGAGUAAAUGGAAUGGGGUCAACCACAUGGAAACCAGGUGAGGGCGGCUCAUAAUGUCUGGAAUGGAGUAAAUGGAAUGGACUCAAACACGUGGAAACCAGGUGAGGGCGACUCAUAAUGUCUGGAAUGGAGUAAAUGGAAUGGGGUCAAACACGUGGAAACCAGGUGAGGACGGCUCAUAAUGUCUGGAAUGGAGUAAAUGGAAUGGGGUCAACCACAUGGAAACCAGGUGAGGGCGACUCAUAAUGUCUGGAAUGGAGUAAAUGGAAUGGGGUCAAACACGUGGAAACCAGGUGAGGACGGCUCAUAAUGUCUGGAAUGGAGUAAAUGGAAUGGACUCAAACACGUGGAAACCAGGUGAGGGCGACUCAUAAUGUCUGGAAUGGAGUAAAUGGAAUGGGGUCAAACACGUGGAAACCAGGUGAGGGCGGCUCAUAAUGUCUGGAAUGGAGUAAAUGGAAUGGGGUCAACCACAUGGAAACCAGGUGAGGGCGACUCAUAAUGUCUGGAAUGGAGUAAAUGGAAUGGGGUCAAACACGUGGAAACCAGGUGAGGGCGACUCAUAAUGUCUGGAAUGGAGUAAAUGGAAUGGGGUCAAACACGUGGAAACCAGGUGAGGGCGGCUCAUAAUGUCUGGAAUGGAGUAAAUGGAAUGGGGUCAAACACAUGGAAACCAGGUGAGGGCGACUCAUAAUGUCUGGAAUGGAGUAAAUGGAAUGGGGUCAAACACAUGGAAACCAGGUGAGGGCGGCUCAUAAUGUCUGGAAUGGAGUAAAUGGAAUGGGGUCAAACACAUGGAAACCAGGUGAGGGCGACUCAUAAUGUCUGGAAUGGAGUAAAUGGAAUGGGGUCAACCACGUGGAAACCAGGUGUUUUUUGAUGUUUCUGUUCAGGCCAUUACUAUGAGUCCGUCCUCCCCAAUUAAGGUGCCACCGACCACCUGCGUUUAGUA